CUCUAUCUCUCUCUCUCCUCCGUAAGAACAAGAAGCUGAAGUUUCAUCAAAAAAAAAAAACCAUGGAUUUCUACUAAAUCAACGCACAAAAUUCGUUUUUGGUGAAGAUCAAGUUGCUCCUCUUGGUAUAUAAACCCUUGAAAAAAAUCAAAGGGGAAGUGUUUGAGGAAGUGGACAGAUUUGGUUUGUUUACGGCGUAGACGAUUCGAACGUCCCCAAGUUGUGAUUGAACUGUUUUGUGGUAAAACACCAAGGAAAUGUUCGGGAUGAAAUCUGAAGAUGGCCAGGGUGAAGUAGUCUCUUUGGGAGAAUUUAUGGAGAUCACAUUUGCAUAUGCACCUUGGUUUGCAUAGUUUUGGGACAUGUACAUGAUAUACAUGAUAUACAUGAUAUACCUGAUAUAUAUGU